AGUGAACGCUGGCGGUAGGCCUAACACAUGCAAGUCGAACGGCAGCACAGGAGAGCUUGCUCUCUGGGUGGCGAGUGGCGGACGGGUGAGGAAUACAUCGGGAUCUACUUUUUCGUGGGGGAUAACGUAGGGAAACUUACGCUAAUACCGCAUACGACCUACGGGUGAAAGCAGGGGAUCUUCGGACCUUGCGCGAUUGAAUGAGCAGAUGUCGGAUUAGCUAGUUGGCGGGGUAAAGGCCCACCAAGGCGACGAUCCGUAGCUGGUCUGAGAGGAUGAUCAGCAACACUGGAACUGAGACACGGUCCAGACUCCUACGGGAGGCAGCAGUAGGGAAUAUUGGACAAUGGGCGCAAGCCUGAUCCAGCCAUACCGCGUGGGUGAAGAAGGCCUUCGGGUUGUAAAGCCCUUUUGUUGGGAAAGAAAUCCAGCUGGUUAAUACCCGGUUGGGAUGACGGUACCCAAAGAAUAAGCACCGGCUAACUUCGUGCCAGCCGCCGCAGUAA
rnacentral:rRNA from 1 species